AGAGUUCGUUCCUGGCUCAGGACGAACGCUGGCGGCGUGCCUAAUACAUGCAAGUCGAACGCUUCUUUUUCCACCGGAGCUUGCUCCACCGGAAAAAGAGGAGUGGCGAACGGGUGAGUAACACGUGGGUAACCUGCCCAUCAGAAGGGGAUAACACUUGGAAACAGGUGCUAAUACCGUAUAACAAUCGAAACCGCAUGGUUUUGAUUUGAAAGGCGCUUUCGGGUGUCGCUGAUGGAUGGACCCGCGGUGCAUUAGCUAGUUGGUGAGGUAACGGCUCACCAAGGCGACGAUGCAUAGCCGACCUGAGAGGGUGAUCGGCCACAUUGGGACUGAGACACGGCCCAAACUCCAACGGGAGGCAGCAGUAGGGAAUCUUCGGCAAUGGACGAAAGUCUGACCGAGCAACGCCGCGUGAGUGAAGAAGGUUUUCGGAUCGUAAAACUCUGUUGUUAGAGAAGAACAAGGAUGAGAGUAACUGUUCAUCCCUUGACGGUAUCUAACCAGAAAGCCACGGCUAACUACGUGCCAGCAGCCGCGGUAAUACGUAGGUGGCAAGCGUUGUCCGGAUUUAUUGGGCGUAAAGCGAGCGCAGGCGGUUUCUUAAGUCUGAUGUGAAAGCCCCCGGCUCAACCGGGGAGGGUCAUUGGAAACUGGGAGACUUGAGUGCAGAAGAGGAGAGUGGAAUUCCAUGUGUAGCGGUGAAAUGCGUAGAUAUAUGGAGGAACACCAGUGGCGAAGGCGGCUCUCUGGUCUGUAACUGACGCUGAGGCUCGAAAGCGUGGGGAGCAAACAGGAUUAGAUACCCUGGUAGUCCACGCCGUAAACGAUGAGUGCUAAGUGUUGGAGGGUUUCCGCCCUUCAGUGCUGCAGCUAACGCAUUAAGCACUCCGCCUGGGGAGUACGACCGCAAGGUUGAAACUCAAAGGAAUUGACGGGGGCCCGCACAAGCGGUGGAGCAUGUGGUUUAAUUCGAAGCAACGCGAAGAACCUUACCAGGUCUUGACAUCCUUUGACCACUCUAGAGAUAGAGCUUCCCCUUCGGGGGCAAAGUGACAGGUGGUGCAUGGUUGUCGUCAGCUCGUGUCGUGAGAUGUUGGGUUAAGUCCCGCAACGAGCGCAACCCUUAUUGUUAGUUGCCAUCAUUUAGUUGGGCACUCUAGCAAGACUGCCGGUGACAAACCGGAGGAAGGUGGGGAUGACGUCAAAUCAUCAUGCCCCUUAUGACCUGGGCUACACACGUGCUACAAUGGGAAGUACAACGAGUCGCAAAGUCGCGAGGCUAAGCUAAUCUCUUAAAGCUUCUCUCAGUUCGGAUUGUAGGCUGCAACUCGCCUACAUGAAGCCGGAAUCGCUAGUAAUCGCGGAUCAGCACGCCGCGGUGAAUACGUUCCCGGGCCUUGCACACACCGCCCGUCA
rnacentral:rRNA from 1 species